ensembl:lncRNA
GAGAUGGGGUCAAAACCAGCUCCUAGAUGAGAGAUAAUACAUAUUUAUGUUCAGUUUUUCUAACAACACUUUUCAAGUAACAGCAUGGCUAUGAUUUAAUGUAUGUAUUCUAUCCUCAUGUUGAACAAUAUUGGUGAAAAUGAAACAAGAGAUUUCUUUGUUGAUAAGGCCCUUGUGGAUAAGUGCACAGAAUACAGACAUUCUCUAUAUAUUUAGGCCUCGGACAAUUAGUCAUGGGCAAGAAGAGGAGAUACACUGGAUUAUCCUAGGAAACCCGAGAGAAUUGAAAUUGAUAUUGGUUUAACUGCCACAGGAAGGUCUACUGAAAACAGGCAAAAUGCUCAAGGUGCUCUUUGCAGCAACAGGACAAGAGAAGAAAGCACAUUUGAGAGAGGUUCUUGCAGCAACUGAAUGGUGGACUUAGCGUAUGGCAAAAUAUUUACAUCUAUGGACUGGCACUUCCCUGCUCAGCUGGCUGGCUUGCAUGUGGGAUUUGCUUGAACUCAAUGCAAAUUUUGCACAUCCACAACCAGCAAGCCAUUUGAAAACACUGUGCUGCCAUUCCCCGUGUCCCUGUUAGAUCAUUGAUCUGCAGCAGUGUCCAAGAGGAAGCGCUGGCAGAGUGGAAGGGGUCUUUGAGAGCAGAGUUUGCAUUAGUGCAGGAAAACCCCUAAGGCACAGGGAGGCUCGAACUCCAGCCCACAAGGAUUUCAGCAGUUCCACAUGACAACAGUGAUAAUCAGUCACUUCUGUCAAUUCGUCUGUCUCAAAGUUGUCAUUCAGAGGUGAGUUUAUAGCAUGCUUGCUGUAUGGUGCUCACUUUCUGCACUGAUGCAGAACCAGCUGCAAUUUACUUUGUGGCUAAMAGCGAGCAACCUACAAAAGCCAGUUCCAUGGGCUGCGAUUGAUUGCUCCAAGUGUUGGCUUGGGUAAUUGCCUGCAAAAGAAUAUGCUUAUCUGAAAGACAUUAUUGACUCAGCUGCAAUGUUCAGAAGGUCUUCAGCAGAGGCUAGGCGGCAUUUAGCCUUAAUGUGGUAUCCAAAAACAGCUUGCUCUGUUGUUUUUCUCUAGGUGUGUCUUUCUCCUUUGUUUCCAGGGAAGGACUGGGGGAGCUGAAUUUCCACUUGUCUGGCUCUAGUGGCUCAGCAUGGAAAUGUGAUGACUGCACUUUGUGUAUUAUAAACUGCUCCAUAUCUGCCACAUUAAAGAUGUAACAUCAGGCCUGUUGUUGGACAGUACAUUUUUGGAAGAUACCCUGAUUCUGCAGUGCAUCUGCCAAGGGUAAUCUGUUACAUCAGUGCAAAUUAGGAGUAAAAUUCUGCCAUUCUGAUGUUUUACACAUCUAAUGAUAAAAGGAGAAAGGCAAGAAGAUAGUUAGCUGGGUUUUAAGGAAGCUGGGUGCAGGCACAAACCACAGUGUUUAUGAAAAUGAAUCAACUCAGAAGCSAUCUGGACUGUCUCCAAAGGGCAAAGUAACGUACUGUAUUGACCUACUGAUUUUCUCUGCCCAUGUUUCUAUCUCCAGUGGAAGUUCCUCUGUUUGUAUAGCUACAUAAUUCCUAUACUUUUGAGGAUGAACCAAUUUAGUUGGCAGAGUAUGUGUCUAGGGGCCAGCAGUUACUGAAAACUGCCAUGCUGUAUGAUUGUGUCUUUGUAAUUUAAAAUGUACUCAGUGGGAGCAAUAGGACACCCAAAGCCUCUGCAAAUGGGACUAGAUUGUAAAGUUUCUUUUGGGUUUCCAUUUUUGAYAUGACUGUAAAACAUUUAAACUUCACCUGAAGCUGGUGAAAAAGCCAUGAUUAUUGUGCUGUUUGUGCUGAUUGCUCCUGGAUGACACAGGGAUUGGUCUCACCAAAAGCAGGGGUCACGCAGAUGGGCAGGGAGCUCUUUGGCUUGGAUGUCCCUGUGCACUGGCACUUCAUGGGAUGGUGACAAAGUCUCCUUUACCUUUUUGAUCACUCUGAGAUAGCUUCCUUCCCUGGCAUAAGGAGGGAGGAAAGGAGAGCCGUGGGGCAGAUAAAGCCUGAGCUACCACGCUCAAGGCAGGAUGCAGACAGAGAAGGUCUUUUGCUCCCUCCCGUGCCCUGGUGCCCGGCCCUGCUGCUAGGUCACUCCCAGGCUUCGUGCUGCAGAGGGUCUCACUUCCUGGUGCAGGUCCCAGAGUGGCUGGGGCACCCAAAAGUCCUGCGAGAUGCAGCAUGAGGUGAGCCUGUCCUUCCUCCAAGGGGCUGUGGAAGUGCGGACUGUCAUGUCAUGACCUCAAUCCUUGCUUGCUGUGGCGACUACUAUAGAAAUUAAAUAAUGCUAUUAUAAAAAGCCUGUCUGGGGAUCAUUGUGGUCACAGCUCCUAAAGGGAUGUCUUGCAAGGCAGCUGCAUUGGACUGAGCCUGUAAGGCAAAUACCGUUGGUAGGAGGGAGGCUGCUACCCUGAGAGGGGAGGAAUGAGCUGCAAAGGUUUGCUAUAAGGAGGUGGAGACAAGAGCCUGGUCACCUGAAGGCCCAAGAAGAGACUGAGAGGUCAAAGAUCCAGCCAGCCCUGAGUUGAGGCCAGUGCAAACCCAGUGACAUACGUCGUAUUUGAAAUUCACUGGAACACACUGGCAUUCAUGAAAACAAAGUUAAAAAUUCAGUGACUGUGGAAAUAUUGGCUGCCCCAGUAUGAGAGUUUUGGGAUUAAGCACACAAAUAGCAAUGGAUAACUUCAAAUGAGUUUACCACUGUCUUUUUUAAAGCUUAAAAUAYGAUGAAAAUAUAAUGAAAAUAAUCCUUAUUUUCAACACUGCAAUAGUGUUUCUUUUAAAGAACUGUUACUCUGUGUUCUCUCUCUCUUGCUAAUGUAACUUUCUUCCUCACAUAAUAAGCUAGUUAAGGACAUAUGAUGUGCAUUACAUUUGAUUCAUAAUUAGCUGGAAAAGUUGUAUUCAGAAAUAUUCCAUCAAUAGUCUGAUCUUAAUUAGAUGCCUACAGCGGUCUGUACUAGACCCUCUAAAUUCAGUAUUUUCAGUUAUAAUUUUGAUGAGGGAAUAAAACACAUAGCUACAAAAUAGGCUAAAAAAGA